AUACCCCAGUUCAGGCG
rnacentral:rRNA from 1 species